UACGAAGGGGGCUAGCGUUGCUCGGAAUCACUGGGCGUAAAGGGUGCGUAGGCGGGUCUUUAAGUCAGGGGUGAAAUCCUGGAGCUCAACUCCAGAACUGCCUUUGAUACUGAAGAUCUUGAGUUCGGGAGAGGUGAGUGGAACUGCGAGUGUAGAGGUGAAAUUCGUAGAUAUUUCGCAAGAACACCAGUGGCGAAGGCGGCUCACUGGCCCGAUACUGACGCUGAGGCACGAAAAGCGUGGGGGAGCAAAACAGGGA
rnacentral:rRNA from 1 species